GAUGAAGAACGUAGCGAAAUGCGAUACGUAAUGUGAAUUGCAGAAUUCAGUGAAUCAUCGAAUCUUUGAACGCAUAUUGCGCUCUUUGGUAUUCCGAAGAGCAUGCUUGUUUGAGUAUCAGUAAACACCUCAACCUCUUCUUGAUUUUUCAAAAGGAGGGUGGACUUGAGCUAUCCCAACAACCUUUACCGGUCGGCGGGCGGCUUGAAAUGCAGGUGCAGCUGGACUUUUAUCUGAGCUAAAAGCAUAUCUAUUUAGUCCUCGUCAAACAGGAUUAUUACUUUUGCUGCAGCUAACAUAAAGGAUAAUUGUCCUCUUUGCUGACUGAUGCAGGAAUUUACGACACUUUAUGUGUUGUUCAACUCGAUCUCAAAUCAAGUAAGACUACCCGCUGAACUUAAGCAUAUCAAUAAGCGGAGGA
rnacentral:misc_RNA from 1 species